rnacentral:ncRNA from 3 species
UUCGAUGUCGGCUCUUCCUAU